rnacentral:rRNA from 1 species
AACGAACGCUGGCGGCAUGCCUAACACAUGCAAGUCGAACGAAACCACCGGGUCUUGUCGCGCCUGGGUGCGUCAGGCGUGGGAACCUGCACUUAGGUUCGGCCUAACUAUCCGAAAGGGGUGCUAAUACCGGAUAAUGUCUUCGGCCCAAAGAUUUAUUGCGCUUGGAUGGGCCCGCGUUGGAUUAGCUCGUUGGUAGGGUAAAAGGCUAUUAAGGCGACAAUUCAUAGCUGGGCUGAGAGAAAGAGCAGCCACACUUAGAGGGAGACACGGCCCAGACUCCUACGCGAGGGAGGAGAGGGGGAUAGAGGAAAGCGGGCGGAGGGCUGAAGGAGCACUGCUGGGUAAGUGAUGUAGGCCGGAGGGAAGUAAAGCGCUUUUAACCGGGAUGAUAAUGACGGUACCGGGAGAAUAAGCUCCGGCUAACUACGUG